rnacentral:rRNA from 1 species
AGAGUUUGAUCCUGGCUCAGGACGAACGCUGGCGGUGUGCUUCACACAUGCAAGUCGAACGGAGUAGCAAUACUCAGUGGCGGACGGGUGAGUAACACGUGGGAAUCUACCAUUAGGUGGGGAAUAACAGGCCGAAAGGACUGCUAAUGCCGCAUAUGUAGGCAUCUCGACAGAGAUGUUUAUGAAAGGAGUAAUCCGCCUUUUGAUGAGCCCGCGUCCGAUUAGCUAGUUGGUAGGGUAAAAGCCUACCAAGGCGACGAUCGGUAGGUGGUCUGAGAGGAUGAUCACCCACAAUGGGACUGAGACACGGCCCAUACUCCUACGGGAGGCAGCAGUGGGGAAUUUUACGCAAUGGGGGAAACCCUGACGUAGCGACACCGCGUGAGCGAAGAAGCCCUUUGGGGUGUAAAGCUCUGCCAACAGGAACGAAACAAAUGACGGUACCUGUGGAGGAAGCAUCGGCUAACUACGUGUCAGCAGCCGCGGUAAGACGUAGGAUGCAAGCGUUGUCCGGAUUUAUUGGGCGUAAAGAGUUCGUAGGCGGUUUGUUAAGUCUGAUGUUAAAGACCGGGGCUCAACCUCGGAAAUGCAUUGGAUACUGGCAGACUGGAGUGCAGUAGAGGCUAGUGGAAUUCCCAGUGUAGCGGUGAAAUGCGUAGA